CCUACGGGUGGCAGCAGUGGGGAAUAUUGCGCAAUGGGCGAAAGCCUGACGCAGCGACGCCGCGUGAGUGAUGAAGGUCUUCGGAUCGUAAACCUCUGUCAGCAGGGAAGAACGGUCACUGUGCUAAUCAGCAGUGAAUUGACGGUACCUGCCAAGGAAGCACCGGCUAACUCAGUGCCAGCAGCCGCGGUAAUACGGAGGGUGCGAGCGUUGAUCGGAAUUACUGGGCGUAAAGCGCUCGUAGGCGGUAUGGCAAGUCACGGGUGAAAGCCCCGCGCUCAACGUGGGAACUGCAUUUGAAACUGGCGAGCUGGAGUGUGGGAGAGGAAAGUGGAAUUCCAGGUGUAGCAGUGAAAUCCGUAGAUAUCAGGAGGAACACCAGUGGCGAAGGCGACUAUCUGGCACAUAACUGACGCUGAGGAGCGAAAGCGUGGGUAGCAAACAGGAUUAGAUACCCGAGUAGUC
rnacentral:rRNA from 1 species